rnacentral:rRNA from 1 species
UACAGAGGUCUCAAGCGUUGUUCGGAUUCAUUGGGCGUAAAGGGUGCGUAGGCGGCGCGGUAAGUCGGGUGUGAAAUCUUGGAGCUUAACUCCGAAACUGCAUUCGAUACUGCCGUGCUUGAGGACUGGAGAGGAGACUGGAAUUUACGGUGUAGCGGUGAAAUGCGUAGAUAUCAGGAGGAACACCGGUGGCGAAGGCGGGUCUCUGGGCCGAUACUGACGCUGAGGCACGAAGGUCAGGGGAGCAAACGGG